rnacentral:rRNA from 1 species
GGAUCAGUUGGUCGGUCGUGCCUCGGUACGUACUGGUCAAAUUGAUUCCUACCUUCUGACGAACCACGAUGUCAUUAAUUUGGUGUCGCGGGAAAUCAGGACUGUUACUUUGAAAAAAUUAGAGUGUUCAAAGCAGGCCUUUGCUCGAAUACAUUAGCAUGGAAUAAUGAAAUAGGACGUUCGAUCCUAUUUUGUUGGUUUCUAGGAUUGACGUA